GGGGGUGAAAGGCUUCGACGAAUCAUUGAAAAUUCAAGAUGCGAGGCGAGGAGGUGCCGUAUCCUCGUAAAUCAUCGGCACAACAAUAAGUGCAAACUUAUUUACGAAAGUGAGUAAUGUCUUUGCGGCCGCUUUUGGUGGUGGCAACGAUAAGCUCGCUCCUGUUUACGCCUAAGCCUAGAACCUAACGGUUCGGCCACGUAGACCAUCCGCCUGCCGAAGCUUAAUAGGCAGACUAAAUCAAUCCCGCUUGCGGGAUUGAUCGUCCGGUCAUCAAAUUGCGAAAGCAAUAUGAUGACUUAGGAUCACGGGUGUCAUACAUAAAGCUUGGUCCCAAUUUUCGUUCGUGGAUCGGGACGACAAAAAGCGAACUUUAUCCAAACCGGUUUUUGCUCCAUUAUUACCGGCUCGGUGAAACACCAAUGGAGAUAUCUUCGUAGUACAUCUUGGAAAAAUAUGGUCCGGACGCCGGUUCAAUUCCGACCACCUCCAUUU
rnacentral:tmRNA from 1 species